rnacentral:lncRNA from 1 species
UGUAAAUAAGAGACUAUGAACUUCUAUUAAAACGAAAAAAAAACUGUCGAGGCUGCAUCAUUGAAAGCUCACCUUUCUCUUUGGUUUGUAGUUUCCUCCAAACUCCACAGAUACCUUAGGUGAAACACACUUAAAAUUGUGUGGACUCUUUCCAUCAGUAAGCUGGUAUUAGUUAGGAGUAGGAGCUCUUCUUGGAUAUGUUUUGCUCUUCAAUUUCCUUUUUUCAGUGGCCCUAACUUAUCUCAACCGUAAGGAUUCAGAAACCCGUGUUAUGCAACUUAUUCUCUAUACCAUCUAUAAUAGGAAUACACAUUGACUAUGUGGGAGAGCUAUUUGUGCAGCUUUUGGGAAACCUCAGCCAAUUCUAUCUGAAGAAACUGUGACAGACAAGGAUAGCCAACACAAGGGGUGAAGCUACUGAAUUAUCAACAGGAGAAAGGAGAUCUUUUGAUAUAGUUUACAAAAAGGCAGGAGGAAAUGAAGUUCUACGAAGUGUAUCUUCCAGGUUUAUGUCCUCAAGAGUAGGAAGCAUCAACGGGGCCGAUACAAACACGAACAAGAAAAGAGGAACAAUUCUUCCUUUUGAUCCCCUUUAAGUUGCAAUAUUACUCAUUGGAAAAUUUACAGUGAUAUACCUGUUUGAAACUACUUCUAAAGUGAAUGCUGCAGACAAUAAAAGCUCUACUUGUUUCGAUCUGAUCUCCUAUCCUGCACAAAAUAAAAAUAGUGUUGUGACUCCAGGAAAUGAAAGAUCAGGUUUACUGAGGAUCGGCUUGAACUCUUGAAAGGUGUAAGUGGUGCUUUUAGGCCUGGAGUUUUGACAGCUCUUAUGGGUGUUACUGGAGCUGGUAAGACCACCAUGAUAGAUGUCUUAGCCAGAAGGAAAACUGGUGGACAUAUAGAAGGAAGCAUCACCUAUAUCAGGGUACCCCAUGAAGCAAGAAACAUUUGCUUGAAUAGCAGGAUACUGUCAGCAAACUGACAUUCAUUCACCACAUGUGACACAGUAUAUGAAUCCUUGCAAUAUUCUGCUUGGCUUCAGUUGCCUCAGGAAGUUGACAGUGCAACUAGAAGGGUAAAUUUAAGAAAUAAGAAAAACCACUCAGGUAAUGCUUAUAGAAACUAGCUCCUAAACUAUAUAUUGAUGCUGCAGAUGUAUAUUGAAGAGGUCAUGGAGCUUGUAGAGUUAACCCCAUGAAGAUAAUUAGUAGUUGGCUUGCCUGGAGUGAAUGGUCUAUCAACUGAAUAGCGAAAGAGACUUACAAUUGCAGUUGAGCUUGUUUCCAGUCCUUCCACAAGAUUCAUGGAUGAACCAAUCUCAGCACUAAAUGCUACGGCAGCUGCAAUAGUGAUGAGGAUAGUGAGAAAUGAAGUAGAUACUGGUCGAACAGUGGUAUGCAACCAUUCAUUAGCCAAGCAUUGACAUAUUUGAUGCUUUUGAUGAGGUGAAUACAUUUUCUUUGUUUAAUUUUUAUUUAGAGACAAACAACCUAAUUCUUCUACAACUAACUGCAGCUGCUACUUCUAAAAUGGGAGGUGAAGAAACAUACGUCGUUCCACUAGGACACCAUUCUUUUCAGCUUAUUAAGUAUUUCGAGGUGAGAAAAUGUAGAUAAGAUAAUUGACAUCAUAAUGCUGGCUAGGUACUAAAACUAAUGGCUCUUUAAUUUUGGCCUCGGGGAAUUGAUGGAGUACCUUAGACAAAAGAAGGUUAUAAUCCUGCGACAUGGAUGUUGGAGAUCACUGCUGCAGCACAAGAAGGGAACUUCUUGGAAUCGACUCUGCAGAACUGUACAAGAACUCAGAGUUGUACAAGUAUGAAAUUCUUUUUGAAACGAAAUCAAACUUUAGUUAAACUGAACAGAACUUGACAUGUUUAAUCUUGAUUCUGAAGUAUACUCGUUUACCACAUAAUUCAGGAGAAACAAAGCAUUAAUCAAGGAACUAAGUGUGCUAGCCCCAGGGUCAAAAGAUUUAUACUUCCCUACAAAGUAUUCUCAGUCUUUCUUCACACAAUGCAUAACUUACCUCUGGAAACAGCACUGAUCUGUGACCAUACUGGAGAAAUCCUCCAUACACAGCAGUCAUGUUUCUGUUUACAAUCUUUGUUGCUCUGAUGUUUGGAACAAUAUUCUGGCAUCCUGGCUCCAAGGGGUAAAGAGGGAAAAAAUAAAAAAGGUACACUACAAGAACUGCUCCUGAUUUUGAAGACAUUUGUUUCUCUUAGUUUCAGGUCUAAUGUUUUGC